CUGUUGGCAGUCUUGGAGAAGAUGCGGACAAAAAACUCUCCGGGCUGGUUGGGCCGAUAGGUGGACGCCACAAGGACGUAAUAACCCGGAUCCAGGUGCACUUUUCUCCACACAGCCCUGCGGGACAUUGACAGGUCGCGGGGGGUGCUGGAGCCUAUCCCAGCCAUCUUCGGGCAGUAUGUGGGGACACACCCUGACCUGGUCGCCAACCCGUCGCAUGGCACAGAGAGACGAACAACCAUUCGCGAACAUAUUCACACCUAGGGACAAUUUGGAGUGCCCAAACAACCUGCCACGCAUACCUUUGGAAUGUGGGAGGAAACCGGAGUACCCAGAGAAAACCCAGGCAGGCAUGGGGAGAACAUGCAAACUCCACACAGGAAGGCCGUAGCCAGAAUCGAACCCUUCACCUCCGCGCUGUGAGGCUGACGUGCUAACCAGUCGACCACCAUGCUGCCGUUCAUAUUGUCAGUAUUAUUAAUUAUUAUUAUGAAAUGCAUGAAUAAAAGGUUGGAUUUUCCUUGUUUCUUUUCAAUCUUGAUACGAUAACUGCAAAAACAGCAUUUAUUAGAAGCUAAAGAAAACAUAAUCGGUCAUGCCAAUAAUUAUGGCGGGCAGUGCAUAAAUUGAAUCUGUUGAAUCCUAUAAAUAAUAAUGUUGCCAAGUAGUAUAUGAUCAAUCAAGCAAGUAAGUACGUGCGUCAGUAAAUCACUAGGUCAGUAGGUACAGUAAGUCAUUAAAGUCAGUAAAAAAAGUGUUCUUUGAUGAGUCAAACCAGAUACGGAUGAAACAACAGCAAGUCACGGUGGAACUAUUCGUGCUUAUGAUUGUGUAAGUAAUUUAGCAUAGGCAGCUGCAAGUAAGAUUCAAGUCUCAGCUGGCUUGACGUUGGGGUGGCUCGUAAUGAGCUGUGUCUCAUUCGCGGCUUGAUGGACGAAAGACAGAGGAGCACCCUGUGUGGUCGCUCCACUUCAUAUAUUUACUCACCCUGAAAUGGAAGAUGCCAGCGUAAGACUUGGACAGGCUUUGGUUGGGCGGUACCACCUUGACAAAGAGUUUGUGAUGCAUGGUGAGACAGGACAGCGCCGCCAGCAGCCAGCAGUUACCUGGGGAGACAAACCACAGGUUUUGUGUAUCGGCCAACCAUGUUGCUGGAAGGCAACGGGAAAUAAUUUCAACAACUGGCAUUCCGUGGAGUGCAAUUCCCGGUAUUGUCAAUCCCUGACCACAAACACGAAAAUAUGGAAUAAAGUCACAUUCCGCUACAAUAGAAAUCA